UACAGAGGGUGCAAGCGUUAAUCGGAAUUACUGGGCGUAAAGCGUGCGUAGACGGUAGCGUAAGUCGGGUGUGAAAGCCCGGGGCUCAACCCCGGAAUUGCCUUUGAGACUGCAUCGCUAGAAUUGUGGAGAGGUAAGUGGAAUUCCGAGUGUAGAGGUGAAAUUCGUAGAUAUUCGGAAGAACACCAGUGGCGAAGGCGACUUACUGGACACAUAUUGACGCUGAGGUGCGAAAGCGUGGGGAGCAAACAGG
rnacentral:rRNA from 1 species